CAGAAAUGAGAACUGAAUGGGAGUUAUAAUUGCAUCUACUGUGAAUCAAAAUCCCUUAAGUUAUAAAUUUGUAAGAAUGAUUCUCUAGCAUAAAAUGGAUUUGGAGUCAGAAAACAUAAGUACUCUCUGAGUUCUACUAUCUAUUUGUUCCAUAAUCAUUGGCCAAUUUUUCAACUUUUAUUAGCCCUUUUCAAGAAGAUAAUGAAAUUUACUUCAUACAAUUAUAGUGAGGAAUAAAUGAGUCAUAUAUAUUUAAUAAAACACUUAUCUUGUGCCUUGCAGAUACUCACUGAAAGCUAGGAGAAUCUGAGAUGAAAGUGCAGCUUCAGAGUUAAAAAGGCAAACUAGAAGUCUUUGAAGAGAAGUAGGAAUAAGCCAGAAAAAUGUUAGGAGAAAUAACUUCCACAGUACAACUAACUCCGUCACCGAAUGGGCUGCACUUGGAGCUCGUGAGGCCUUCAGUGGAAAGAUGUUUGAGAGUCGCAUGACAACCUUGUUGAGAUUGCAUUAGACUGGAGAAUCAUCAAAGACAUCUCCAAUCCCAAGAGUCAGUGGUCUGUGCAAAUGUUAGUCUGACCACUUGGCAGAUAAACAUUUAUUCUACCAGAAAAGCCCUAGACCAGAAUGUUUAAACGUUGGGACUCUAGAAUUGAGACUGGCUGCACUCACAUACUGACACAGUCUCUUCAUGAUUAUAUGAAUUUGGGAUAAUUAUAUGACCUCUCUGAAGUUCAGCUUUCUUAUCUGAUACAUGGUACUAAGAAUGUCUAUUGGAGUGAAGAUGAAAUGAAAUAGUACAUGUUAUGGCCUUAGCAGAGUGGCUAUCGCAUAGUAGCAGAUCUCCGUAAUUACCACUGUUUUAUCAUUUUUAAUCUAUCAACUUGGUGGCACUGAUAGACCAAGGCUAACUCUAUAUAAAUCACUAUGUAAGGAAAUUUGCAAAGGCUAAGUGUAGAAAUAUAAUGACUGAAAAAUGAGGCGGGGUAAGGAAGUAAGCAGUUUAUAAAAAUAAAUGCAUAAAAUGUCAUUCAUAUUAAACAAAAUAUAGUUAUCCAGAGACAGCCAGCCUUUAUGAUGCAGCUUUAGUAGAAGCAUACCCAGUGUGUACCAAAUCCAUACUUUGCCUAAAUUUACAAAUAUUUACAUUGCUGAUCUCUUAAAAUUACUAGCAUUCUGGUGUAUGACUGAAUCUACAGAUUGUCUCAUGAAUGCGUAAUCAUUACUGCUGGUUAUUGCAGUUCUGUUCUGCUAAAUAUAGUUUGUAGCUUCUUUUCUUCCUUAACCUCAUCUAAAGUAUAGAAACUUGAGCCACUUAUUCUAAUGGCUUAAAAUUUAUCCUAGUCUAAGUUAAGGAACCCAUAAAAAUAACUAUAGUAUAUUGACUGACAACUGUUGUUUUAAAAUAGAAAUUCAAGUAUUAAAAUUAGAUUGAAUUUGCCAUUCACCAAUUAGAUAAUGCCAUAGGGUUGAAUAAUCCGUUAGCCAAUUUAUAAAGCCAGCUGUCCAAGUUCCACUAACUUGGAACUUGGUGCCAGUGCACUGUGAAUUUCACAUUCAUCAGAGAAUAUAUUAUUCCUCUUAAUUUUAAAAUUUGAGCAAUUACCAAAAGCUUUACAGCAAAACUCUUAAUACAUGUUAACUUAAACAUUUAAUUUCAGAAGUAAUAAAAAUGAAAAAUUAAGUGGUAUGAGUAAAAUAGAGAGUAUUUUCCCUACUAGUAACUGAGGGAGAAAUCUGUGAAAAAGAUAAGUCACAAGCUUCUGUUCUGAGUCCAGCAGUUCUAUAAGUGAGAGUAGUAUUCUGAAAAAAAGUAUCUUGAAUGUAAAAAUCUUAAACUUGAGAAGUCUGAGAGUUAAAAAUUAAACAAGCAAUUGGUUGUCUUCCUCAUCUCAACUGUGAAUGAAGGAAAGGACAAUCAGUAAACAAUGAAGCCCUGUACCAAAUAUGGCAUUAAUGACCACAGGCAAUACCUAGCAUCACACUGGGAAGCAAAUUGGUAGUCAUUGGAGACUGCUGUGUCUUGGUGAGAUAUUCCCUGAGGCUAAAACCAAUCAGCAGUCAGGCUAUUCUAUACCCCACGAAGCCUAAGAGUGGUUUCCAGGGGUAACCUCUUUGAGAGCACAUUUGAAUAAUCUAAUUUGGAAUUUUAAAAGUGGGGGGAAUGGUGGGAGAAUCACAUGCUAACUGGCACCACUCCUUAAACUGCAAUAGAAGGGCUCUCACAUCUGAAAUAGUUUAUGAGGCAUGUUUUAAACAAAACCAGUGUUGCAUAAACUGUUUGAUAUUGUACAAAUACAAAAUUCAUUUCCACUGCUCUUUUCUCUUCUCUAAAGAUGAGUCUACCUCUUCCCUGAGUACUUGAAAGGCCACCCUUUGUUUUUGGAAAUAAUGAAGCGGAUGGCUAUCAUUAUCCUUAGUAGCAUUAAAGAGAUUUCAGAAAUUAAAGAACUAAAAAUUUACAAACUCUCAUGUGUUCAUUGUGUUAGGAGUUGGCUGUUUCUAUUUGUAUAAGGAAUAUUUAUGAAACAUUUAUAAAAUAUAUAUGAAACAUAUUGUGCCUAAUAAGCAUGGUCUUAGCCUUCACAGAGUGCAUAUUAUUUUCUUCAAGAGGAGUUAAAGGCAAGUCAUGUUGAGACCUUUAACAGAGCAGUGUUUCUUCUUUCAGAGGACUCAUCUUCCAAAGGGGAGAAGUAAGCAAAAUGUCCAUGCUAUGAAACCUGUUCAGGCUAUUAAGUUGCCUAUUCAAAGACGAGUGCUUUUGUGAUAUACUCAAAUGAAUGCCACACUAGCUGCAAGUGUUGCCCAUUCAGUGGAGAAAGAGUUAUUUGAACUAUUUGAAGUUAUUUCACAUAAAUAAAUAAAUACGCAAGCUUCAAGAGAAGUAGAAUUUAGGAAAUUAAAGAGCAUUACAAAUAAGAUAUUUUUUUAGUUCACUGAGCUUCCUGAAAGAAUCAAGUGUUCGUUCUAAAAGUAUGCCAUUAUUCCUAGGCAAUAUAUUUAUUUAUUCCUAAAAAUCAUAUAGUAUAUCUUUGAUUUAUCAUGAAUGAUAUAUGAACUUGGACGGGGGUAGAGCUGAGACAGAAACAAGGGACUAUGCAGGUCUUGAGAUGUGUGAGAGCUAUCAAAAAUAGGACACUAUAGAAAAAUCCAGGUUAUUAGGAAAAAAUGAGAGUUGGCUGCUAAUACCAAGUAUUAAAAGAGUUUAGAUUUCAGAGUUCCCACUGUGGCACAGUGGGUUAAGAAUCCAACUGCAGCAGCUCGGGUUGCUACAGAGGCACAGGAUCCACCCCCAGCCUGGUGCAGUGGGUUAAAGGAUCAAGGUUUGCCACAGCUGAGGCGUAGGUCUCAGGUGUGGCUUGGAUCCAAUCCCUGGCCGGGGAACUUCCAUAGGCUGUGGGUGAGGCCGUUAAAAAGCAGGGUGGUGCUUAGGUUUCAGAACAGGUCUCUAGACUAAUGGAGAGAGUACAGCACUGACCAGAUUUAAACAAUGGCUGUAUUCCAGCAUAGUUCAAUAUGUGUUCCAAAAACAGUGCUAGAUAUUGUGUGCAAAGAAAAAUAAAUAUGUAUGACCUUUGAUUUAGAAGGGUCUGCCAUAAAAGCUUAGAAAAACCAUCAAGUUACGGAACGUAAGAGGCAAGGGGGUAGAAUGAUAACGGACAACAAAAGAUGGGAAUCAGACAAAUCAGUCCAUUUGUCUCUAUCAAACUGGAAGAGAGUUUUAUGUCUUUUACUUCACAUUAAUUUGCUUUUCACAUUAAUUAAUGUUGCUCACAUUGCUUUGAUAUAAUUGCAUCCACUAUCCAGGGUCAAAAGCAGAUUCACAAGUCAAUGAAGAGUCAACGGAUACAAAAAAGAAAAUAAAAUAUAUAAAUACAAAGACUGAAGGAUGCACCAACAUCUUAAAACUUUGAGAGCAUCUUAGAGACCAUGGGUGGAUGGCUUAUGAUUAUAUUUCUCUAAGAAUGAUAAACUUAUUUAUAUGCAUGGAUACUUUAUGUGAAUCCUAUGAGUGAUGUUCCAAGAAAUAAAUUUUAGAAAAAAAUUAGUCCUUAAAAAUGAUAAACUAUACUUCCCACAGUAAUAUUUAUGUUUUGUUUAAUUUUUGAACAAGUUUAAAUUACUGAUGAAAUUAAUUUCCUACUAGUUAUCAGGAAAAUGAAAAAUAAUUUAGUACCAACAGCAUGCACAAUAAAAUAAUUGCGUCUCAAUGAACUUUCUAAGCUAAAGAGAAAUUACGUUUUAAUACUGUCUACUCUUAUUUGGUUUAAAUACCUGUAAAGAAACAGAAAAUAAUGGUUAAAUCUAUCUAUUAAGCAUUUUCAUUUCCUAGAAAGGUAAAUAUUACAUAUAAUAGGAUUAUGAAAUACUUAAAGAUAUAGAAUUUCCUUUUUCUGAGAAACAGUGUGAAAUUGUCAGCAUAGUGAAGCCACCUCUGGUUUAAAUUAAUGAUUGUUUUAUUGGCCAUGCAUUCCUCAGGCUGACACUAUAAUUACCUCAUUAACAGUAUAAAUCUUGCUUUACUUUUGAUCUCAUAAAAAGAUAAUACAUUGAUUAUUCUAUUAUAUGAUGUUUUAAAGUGCAUGUCUUUAGUAUUAUUCUCUUAGAAAUAAAGGUAAUAUUUCAUGGACAAUAAAAGAAAAUUGUAUUAUGUGGAGUCAUGUUAUCUUUAAUAAUUUUUUUUUUUUUUUUUUUUUUGGCUUUUCCAGGGCUGCACCCGUGGCAUAUGGAGGUUCCCAGGCAAGGGGUCUAAUCGGAGCUGAAGCCGCCGCCUACGCCAGAGCCACAGCAAUGUAGGAUCUGAGCCGCAUCUGCUACCUACUCCACAGCUCACGGCACCACACCAUGGCACUGACCUUCACCAUGGCACUGACCUUCACCAUAGCAUUGACCUACACCACAGCUCACAGCUCAGGUCGCAGACCCACUGAGUGAGGCCAGGGAUCGAACCUGCAACCUCAUGGUUCCUAGUCGGAUGCACUGACCACUGAGCCACGACGGGAACUCCAAUCUUUAAUAAAUUUAAUGAGGUAUACUUUAUAUGUGGUAAAAUACAGUUUAGGUAAACAUUUUGAUGAAGUUGAACAAAUUCAUACACUUGAGUAACCAUUACAUUCUAUUUACAAAACUUUCAUUGAAAAAUUUUUUGGCAUCAUCUCACAGACAACACCUACCUUCUCUCCAAUCCUAGGACCAGGCAGCCAUCUAUUCACUCUUAUUUUGUGUUAGACUUGUCUUCGCUAAAAUGUCAUAUACACUGGAAUCAUUUAGUUUGUAUUCUUUUAUAUCUUAUUGUGAGCAGCAUAUUUUCUUAAUUUUUUUUGUUGUAUGUAUCAAUAAUUUAAGUGCUAAAGAUCCCAUUGAAUGGAUAAACUGCAAUGAAUUGCAAAUCUACCUCUUCAUGGAAGUGUGAAGUGAGAUUAUACUGAAUACACUUGAUAUAAAUAUCGCUAUGCAAGACUGUGAGCAAAUAUGACAAUUUCACUGCAGUAAAAUUCUAAGAUGGGCCAUAGUGGAAGUACGUGUUUUUAGGAAGUCCCAAGCAGUUGGCCAAAUUGACUGUGUAUUUCACAUUCCUUCUAGGAAUGUUUGAGACUACUCACACCUCCCCCCUUCAAUACUUACUCUGGAGUUUUCUCAUUUUAGUUAUUAUAAAGGGUAGAUAGAAGUAUCUCACUUUUGUGUUAAUUUUCAUUUCACUUAUGGGUAGUGCGGUUGGAGUAUGUUCAUGUGGUUACUGAUCAUAUAUAUAGCUUCCUUUGUGAGGUGACCAUUUAAAUCUUUGAACAUAUUUUUUACCUUUUUUGUCUUGUUAUUGAUUUAUGAAAGCAAUUUAUUUUGGAUUCAAGGCUGGUAAAUAUACAGGACUUUUAUUCUGUGACUUGACUAUUCAUUUGCUUAGAAGUUUUUUUGAAGAGCACAAAUUUAUUUUGAUAGAGCUUGAAGUCUACUCUGUCAAUUUUUGCUCUUUUAUUGAACAUGUAGUUUGUGAUCUAAGAAGUCUUUAAUUAUUCCAAGGGUAAAAAAAGAGUCUGACUCAUUAUUCUAUGUGUACUGACAAUUUUUAAGUCUUACUUCUCUGUCCUCCCAUUGUGCUUCAUAUCUGAGCUAGAUGAUAAGAAGCCCGGAUGCAUUCUCCUUUAGCAUCCCUAAGAAGUUCAAACACCGUAAGUGAACCCUAACCCUGGCCCAACUCUAUCUAUCAUAAAAACACCAAGACAAUCUCCUUUCCUGGCUUUCUCAAGCUAUUUUGGGACUGGAUUAGUAAACCUAUCCUGUUCUCUCCAAAAAUCUCGUCAUAUGACUCAUAAGCUGUAUGUACACUUUAAAUGUGUUUAUGUGGUGUUAUUAGCCUUGACCUUUGAAUCAUAUUUGUAGCAGGGUCCAUUCUGAUUGGAGUGGCUUAUAACCCCAAGUCUGGUAACAUUUCUUUCUGUAUUUCCAUCUCAAAAUUUGAGUAGUUUUAACUUUAGGUUUCAAUUUCUUGUCCAUUUUGAAUUAGAUAUACAUAUCAUAUUCACACAAUAUUAUGUAGCUAUUCCCCACUCUCUAAUUCCAGAACAUUUUCAUCACUAU
rnacentral:lncRNA from 1 species